GCAGUCGUGGCCGAGUGUUUAAGCGAUGGACUAGAAAUCCAUUGGGGUCUCCCCGCAUAGUUCGAAUCCUGUCGACUGCG
rnacentral:tRNA from 1 species